AUCUGCGCGUUGAACACACAGCAAACUAUUUUUUUGCCGUUUACUAAAGAAUACCUUGUGUUUGUUGCAAUUCAAGUAGCAUAAUCCUUUUUUCAGGGUCUUUUCUUUACUGAAAAAU